rnacentral:snRNA from 8 species
AUUCUUUUGCAGUGGCGAUAUCAUAGCCUAUGAAGUCCAUCUGAGGCGUGAUUAUUGCUGGUUGAAAACUUAACCCAAUACCACGCUUGGGGCGACUUGAAAUAUAGUCUUU